CUGCAACUAUCUUUAGGCUAGCUAUGUUUAGGCCAAGAGUGGCUUCAUGCUUCAGUGGUUUCCUGCCCAUGUUAGGUAUGCAAACAUACAGGAUGCAAGCAAGUAAUAUAUAGAAAAGGGGGAAGGAGCUUAGCCAACCUAAUAAGGUAAUGAAUUGUAUCUCUGUCUGCUGAUUGGGGAGCAAUUGGGGAAACCAGCUUGCAAAUGGGUAUAAAAAUACUUGUAAGACACGAGGGGGGUGCUGCCAGUUUGUGGAAGCUAUUCCGCUGGCUGCCUCUGUGCAGAUUUUGCAAUAAACCUUUUUCUCUGUGGAAUCACACCCUGGUGUCUGCUCCUAGCUCCUUCACGCUCCUGGCGAGGGUACGAGGUGACUGGACCCGGACCCCUGGGAUCAGAUAUCCCAACAGUUGCAGGCUGUGCUCCGUGAAACCAUGGCCACUCGUCUGUUUGAGGAGAGGGCUCACACUGCUAUUUAUCGAAAAUACAGGUUUUCCCCGCAGGAGAAUCUACAGGGCGUGAUCUUCUCGUACCUGGAAGAAAAGGUAAGAACAUAAUAGUGUGUGUGUCUGAACUUGGGCGCGUAGAUCAUUGCAUUCGUACAGUUGGCAUAAUUUUAUAUAAAAGGAGAGCUCCAUUAUGAACUUUCUUGAGUCUGAUACUAAUCUUUAUCCUGAAGAUGUCCUGGAAGGCUUCCUGGCCUUCUUAAUACUUGAGGAAAAAAUUAGCAUGGUAAAUGAUUCCUCUAGAAGACCCUUACCAUAACCUAACAUUGGUAUAUAACAGUACAGGCACUGAAAAACUCCUCCUCCCUUAUGUGGGGGUUGUGUUCUGGGGGCCCCACACACAUAAGUGAAAAUGUGCAACAUGGGGAGCACCCUUGAAAAAAACCUCUGAAUGCCUGCUUUCCCCUCCAGCUCUCCUCCUCUCUCUCCAAUCCAGACCAAAAUAUCUGGAGUUGAAGCUCUGGGGGCUGGAUGGAGGUUGUGAGGAAAAGCGGCGGCAGAGGCGGCGCUACCUCCUGCGUCAGCUGCUAGACGAGGAGGCUGAGCAGCCUAAAACAAGGCCCUGUUGCGCCUCUGGUCCUUUCUAACUCCACGAUUCUACAGUGUCACUUUGCUUCCCGAAGUAAAUAUUCUGUCUCUUUCAUUUCUUGUAAACAACCAAUCUUUCGUUAUUCCUUUUCUGUGAAAACUUCUAGCAGGCAUAAGGCUAAGGGUAAACACAUAUUCAAAAUAAGCAAACAUUAGAAAUCUAGCAAAAGGUCUUAGACCGCUUGGUAGUGUGCCUAGGUAGUAACAAGGGGGUGACAGUGAUAUAAGAAGAAAAUGGAGUUGGCUUUUACCCAGCUAGUUCCUCCUGCCAUUUUUCUGCGUCCAAGCAGCCCAUGACAUUUUGUGUUAAUUCACGGCUGGUUUCACUGUGUUCGAGUGAAAACUGCUCAUGUAUCGGACCUAGAUGGGUACAGUGGUACCUCGGGUUAAGUACUUAAUUUGUUCCGGAAGUCCGUACUUAAUCUGAAACUGUUCUUAACCUGAAGCAUCACUUUAGCUAAUGGGGCCUCCUGCUGCCGCUGCGCUGCCGGAGCCCGAUUUCUGUUCUUAUCCUGAAGCAAAGUUCUUAACCUGAAGCACUAUUUCUGGGUUAGCAGAGUCUGUAACCUGAAGCGUAUGUAACUUCCAUGUUGGGGAUUCCCCAUCCUCCUUCUGAGGUGGGGAGGUGCAGGUAUUUGGAGCUUAUUCUUGGUUUUUUCUGAGAUGUGUCGCUAUCUUUUCUCAGAGAGUGAGCCCCGGGCAGCUGGCAGUCGACGUGGGUUGUGGCUCGGGCCAAAGCACUCAGAUGCUGGCAAAACAUUUUGAGAAGGUGGUCGGGACAGACAUCAGUGAAGCUCAGAUCGAGGAGGCCAGGAGAGCUCCACAACCGCCCAAUGUCUCUUAUCUGUAAGUAGGAGCUGAUCUCGCACGUGGAUAGCCGAGAAAAGCAGGCAGGAAGAGGCUUUUCUCCCUCUCUCAUCACACUAGAACUCUUGAAGCUGAAUGUUGGAAUAUUCAGGACCAACAAAAGAAAACACAGCUUCAUGCAGCGCAUGUUUAAACUAUGGAACUCCCUUCCACAUGAGGCAGGGAUGGCCACCAACUUGGAAGGCUUUAAACGAAGACUAGAGAAAUUAAGGAAGAGGCCUAUCAGUGGCUACUAGCCACGAUGCCUCUGCUGGACCUACAAGGUGGGCAGAGUGAAGGCCAGUUUUUCUGACUACCGGAAGCCGCAGGAGGGAAGCCAUUUUGCUCAAAUCCUGCUUGUGGGCUUCCCCCAGGUAUCUGGUAGGCCAUUGUGAGAACAGGAUGCUGGACUAGACGGGCCCUAGGCCGGAUCCAGCAGGCUUUCCUUAUGUUCUGAUGUUUGUGCACAGAGACACUUCCAAUUACUCCACAAAUUAGAUAAUAAGUAUUAAAAUAUGAAAGUAUAUUUAAAGCGCUAUCAUACCACUUUAAAUAGUCAUGGCUUCCCCCAGAGGAUUCUAGGAGCCAUCAUUUGUUACAGAUUUACAAAAGCAGCCCCGGAAUGUCUCACUUUUCCUUAGGACGUCCAAAUUUUCAUUCGAGGGUAUGGAGUUAUGCAACCAUACAACCUUAGAAGACACCUGAAGCACAGGGAAGGUUUUCGGGUUUUUUUUAAUGUGUAGUGUUUUGUUAUGUUUUUAUAUAUGUUGGAAGCCGCCCAGAGUGGCUGGAGCGACCCAGUCAGAUGGCUUGGGUAUAAAAAAUACACUGAUUAUGGAAUAGGACAUCCCUAUUUUCAUCGGAGAAAUGUUGGGUGGUAUAACGAUGGCUGUGCUCUGCCUCCACAGCUGGAGCCAGCAAUGCUAGUGAAUUCCAGUUGUUGGAAACCACUGAGGGGAGAGGAGUCUUGCACAGGGGCCAAGAAAGGGGGGUGCGGUGGGUGCGGUCCGCCCCAGGUGUCACCACUGAGGGGAGUGACAAAAUGCUGGGCGGCACCCACCGCCGGGCCUGCAGUGCGCCCGAGCUACGCAUGUCUACUGGGAGUGACGCUGUGGCUGUAGGGUGGCUGAGUGGGAGAAGGCAGGCAGACUCUGGAGGCACACCCACUGGGCGCACUGCCCCAGGCGCCCGAGCGGCUUCCUCUGCCGCUGGUCUUGCACCCAGGUUUUGUUUGCGGGUUUCCCAAUGGGGCAUCUGGCUGGCUACUGUGAGAACAGGAUGCUUAGCCAGAUGGGCCUUGGGCCUGAUCCAGCAGGCUUCGAACAAUCACCUUGCCAUCUCCUCCCACAGGGUGUGCCCUGCCGAAGACCUCCCUUUCGAAGACGGCUCUGUGGACCUGGUCACGGCGUUUGCGGCCGUCCACUGGUUUGACGGGCCUCGCUUUCUGAGGGAAGUGGACCGAGUUCUCAAGCCGUCAGGCUGUGUGGUCUUCAGCUCCUACAACUGGGACAUGCAGUUGUGUUACAAAGAUUGUACAGACGAGUUAACCGAGAUCUUCAGAGAGGUCAGUCCAUCGCACAGGCCUGUCUGCCCAGACCUCGGACCUGAGGUCCACCUUCAGACCACAUAUUUCAGGGCCAUCCCUGCCAGUUUUCUAGCCCCAAAUGUCUGUGGGGUUGUUGUUGUUUUUAAGUGUCUUUCCUGUAGAAGGACAGAAGAGUCCUUCAGUCUAGGUUAAUUGAGCAAAGCUAGAAGUCCUGGAUGCAUUUUAAUCCCUCCUGCAAAACACUGGCACUAUGGAAAAGAAUAUCAUUUCAGGGCCCAGGCGUUUAUUACAGUAAUAUUUAUAAAGCCAGUUUCUACAAAGCACCAUGACUUUCAACACUUUUACCAACCCCCGCUCAGUAAUUAAAAUAGUCCAUAUAUAUACACACACACACCACAUAAAAAAGACCUCCAAGUGGUUUACAAGGCAGUCUAAAAUAUUACAGUCAAACCUCGGCUGCCGACCAUAAUCCGUUCCAGAAGACCAUUCGACUUCUGAAACAUUCAACAACCGAAUACAAAGCGGAAGCCUCAGUACAAUAGGGAAACUCAAAACUGAAGCCGGGUAGCAUCUUCGGCUUCUGAAAAUCGUUCGAAAACCAGAGCAGUUACGGUACUUCCGGGAUUUCGGUGUUUGGGUGCCAAAGCAUUCCAAAAUGGAGGCAUUCAGGAACCGAGGUCUGACUAUAAUUUGGUAAAUACCAAUUUAAAAAACAUUAAAAACGUGUUACAUGAAAUAAAUAAAACUGACCAUUUCAAACACUUAUAGCUACUAAAACCUAGGUAGGCAUGCGGGAAUGAAAAAGUUUUUAGCCAGGUAUGUCAACGGGCAGGCAGUUCCAAAGUGCUGCCACAAUAAAAGAUUGAUUUCUUGUAAGUGCUGAAUGAAUGUUACGUGACACUUGUGAAAGGGCCAGUUUCGCAGAUCCCAGCCAUCAAAUGGGCACAUACUGGGUGACAGUCUUGAAAUACAGUGGUACCUCAGGUUAAGUACUUAAUUCGUUCCGGAGGUCCGUUCUUAACCUGAAACUGUUCUUAACCUGAGGCACCACUUUAGCUAAUGGGGCCUACUGCUGCUGCCGUGCCGCCGCUGCACGAUUUCUGUUCUCAUCCUGAAGCAAAGUUCUUAACCUGAAGCACUAUUUCUGGGUUAGCGGAGUCUGUAACCUAAAGCGUAUGUAACCUGAGGUACCACGCUACUGUACAUUAUUCUAUAGGCUGCCACACCUCACACAUUUCCUUCAGUGCUUUUAGUCUUUCCAUAUAGGGAGCAUCUGCAUGUUGAUCAUUUUUCUACUCCGGAUUUCUGCACCUUUAACAGCUCAGCAUCCUCUUUUAUACAGCAUGCUUUGAACAGCGAGAUUCUGUAAGCAUAAAAAAAAUGACUGUGGCUUCCCACCCACCCCCUUUCUCUCUCCCUCUCUCUCUCUCUCUCUCUUUUCCAGGUGGUAGACCAGCUUUUCACCUUUAGAAAUAAAAAGCUCAAAUCACUUGAGAAUGAUUACCAAGAAAUCUUUGAUUCUUUGCCCUUUCAGGAGAAGAAGAGGUGAGUGGAUCAGGCCCUUUUGUACAGUGCGGUGCAUGGACCCAGCCAUGCCAAUCUUUUCAAUCUCCUGCUAAAAACAUUUCUGUUCCACCAAGCUUAUGCAAAGAAUGCAUCCACAGUUGUUAAAUGAUACCUGUUUUUAAUUUUUUUUUUGUUACCAACUUACUGAAUUUGUAAGUUGUAUGAUUUUGUUGCUGUAAACGGCUUUGAUAUAUUUUUAUGACACAGCAGCAUCAAAUAUUUUUGUAACUAAACAAAUACAAAUUGGGAAGUCCAGAACAAUACGGUCAAAGUCACUAAGUUGAACAGCCACACUCUCCUGAGCAAACAUACAUAUGAUUGACACCACUUCCGUAGUCAAAAGAUUUCCGUACUCUCAACUCAGCCCCAAACUUCUCCUAAAGCUUUCUGCUUCUUUCCAGGAUGACGGAUAUUUUCGAUAAAAUUCCCCUGAGCGUUGCUGACGUAAUAGGAUAUAUCCAGUCACUCUCGCAGUACCAACUUUAUCUGGAAGCCCAGCCUGAGGAGGCGAAAUCACUUCUCCAAAACACAGAGCGAAGGUGACAAAAUCUGUUUGCUGGAGUAAGCCAGAUGUGGAAGGGCCAAGGAACCAUGGUUAAGUCAGGGCCUGUAUGACAGAGUUAUUCCACCUGGCCUUUGGCUUGGAGCCAAUUUGAUUCCCUCCCUCCCUCUCUUUUUUCUUUUCCUUCUACUCCUGCGAUGAGGAUACAUUUUAAUAUUUUAAUGUUUCAAUAUUUUAAUGUUGUAUUUUAAUUUUGUUUUUAAGUUGUAAUCAUUCAACUUGUUUUUAUUAUUGCAUGUAAGCCGCCCUGAUCCCGGCCUUGGCUGGGGAGAGCGGGGUAUAAAUAAAAAUUAUUAUUAUUAUUAGGAGAGUCGCAUUGAAGUCUUUAGCCUGUGAUAUUGCAUGUCUUUUCAUAGAUGGCAUGCAGUAGAAUUUACCAGUAACUGUUCUCAGUACGAGAUGCUAGCAAAGCAGAAGGGCUUGGAUUUCCAUAUGUUUUCCUGCAAUUAAAAUUCAGCUCCAAUAUGCACAUUGUAAUUUUUAAUUCAAAAAAUUCCCAUGUAAAAUAACAAAAUUGUAGAGUUGGAAGGGACCCCCCUCCCCCAAUUAGCCCAGGGAUGGAAGGAAGAGAUAACCAUGACCAGAAAAGAAUGGCAAACCAAGUUGGUGACAAAAUUAACUGGGAAGCUCAGAAAUCAAGAAGACAAGAACUUUAAGAAAAAAUGGGGAAAGUUUAUAAUUUAUCUACGAGACUACUGUAAGCAAGUUAAAACAUUAGCAGGAUUUUAAUCACAAUUGUAAAGAAACAGUUAAGUGUGGAUAAUUUAGAAGGAUAAAAAUUUGGAUUACGGUAGUAUUGAUAUGCAGUUGUAUAUAUCAGUAGGACCCAUAGAAGGGAUGAGUGGGGGGAGUCAGGAGAUUCAGAGUAAUCUCAAUAUUUGGGUUUUUUUGUUACGUGUUUAUACUUUUUAAAAAUCAAAUUAAAAAUUAUUUUAAAAGGGAAGGGACCCCUAAGGGCCAUCUAGUCCAACCCCCUGCAAUGCAGGAAUCUCCGCUAACGCACGUGAGUGGCGAAGUCAGAAGUGUUGCCAGAUUCCAACUAUUCAUUUAAUCUGUGCAUAAGCCAUGCUUCAAACCUUAUGCCAGCUUUAUGUCCUCAGUCCCAUUUCCCCACACCUUCUGUUUGCCGCAUUUUAUUGUACCAGUUUGUCAAAGAGGCAGCCUCCCAAAUUCUUCAAGUAUCUCGCCAUUAUGCGCCUGGCUGCCGUCAAAAGACAACUUGUUUGAACUGUGAAAAGAUGGAGCGGUGCUAGCUCUGGACAUUUCGAGGUGUUUCGUCCAGUAAUUGUUUUCAUUUCAAUGAAUCCCGGAACUGAACCCUGGUUUCUGCUCUCUUGCUUUCCUUCCCCUAGGUUUCUGGAGACGAUGGGCGUUUCCUCUCGGGAUACCCAGCUGGAGUUGCGCACGAAGCACAUUUGCAUCUUGGGCUGCAAGAGCUCCUGAGAGGAAUGUCAGUCUGAAUGCAUUAAUGGACUCCAGCUCUAUCAGUUGUGAAGACAGCAGGUUAUGAUUCCAGGGUUCCAUUGAUUUCAAGGAGAGUGGGAACUAGAUGCUUUCAAAGGGCCAGGAGCCUUCUGAAGCCACCACUUCCUUGCAGCAGUGACUGGUCUGUCUCCUUGGAGCUUGUUCCAAAAGCUCUCUGCAAACAAUCCUUUUAGACCAGAGCUGGCAAGCUGGCAAGCUGUUGGGUGGGGAGGAAGAGAAAAGGGUGUCAGGGAGACUCCCCCAGCCACCCACACGCUGAAGCAGAAAACAAGAGAGCUGGGUGUCGGAACGGCGUUAGAACUCAGGCCUGGGUCACUGGGUGGCUACCUCUGAAACGAGGUCGGUGUCAUCUUUUACCUGCUCCUCUCAUGUAGAAUCAUGUCCAUUGUUAAGAAUCUUUUCCUUUGGUAUCAUAAUAAAACAGAACUGAGUUGAAUAGUGAAUUCAUUGUUUUUAUUUGUUGUUCGUUUAUGGCUGAUAUAACUCACAUCAAAUGAAAUCAGCUUAAAACCAUGGCCAUAGACCAGAGCUGGCAAGCUGGCAAGCUGUUGGGUGGGGAGGAAGAGAAAAGGGUGUCAGGGAGACUCCCCCUGCCACCCAUGUGUUGAAGCAGAAAACAAGAGAGCUGGGUGUCGGAACAGCGUUAGGCCGGAGUUCAAAUCCCCAUUUGUCUAUUGAAGGUCACUGGGUGGCUACUUCUGAAACUGGAGGUCGGUGUCAUCUUUUACCUGCUCCUCUCAUGUAGAAUCAUGUGCAUUGAAGUUUAUCGUGUUAAGAAUCUUUUCAUUUGGUAUCAUAAUAAAACAGAACUGAGUUUAAUAGAGAAUUCAUUGUUUUUGUUUGUUGUUCGUUUAUGGCUGAUAUAACUCACAUCAAAUGAAAUCAGCUUAAAACCAUGGCCAUAAGACAAUUAAAAAAAAUAAAAAUCCACAAUGAAUCUUGAAUUUCUCUUGC